GGAAGUGGUGGCUUAGUGGCUAAGGCUUGGGGCUACCAAUCAAAAGGUUGAGAGUUCAAAUCCCAGCACUGCCA